CCCCUAGCCUGAGACAGGUUCUGAGGGCAGGUGGCUUGGGUGGAGGGGAUCCGGAAAACUGUAGAUGAGUGGAAGGGAAGGGAAGGAGCCCCGGUGGGCUGUGCUGGUGGGCAGGCCACGGCCGUGGGCACCUGGGCUCCCCUGCCUGCAGGAGCCCCCAGUCACCAGCUCACCGGCCAUCAGGAUACUGACCCGCCAACUCCCACCAGGUCUUGGCUGCUGGCCGCCCCACGCUGGGGCUGAUGGCUGCUCCAUCCGUGGAGAUAUUUUCAAGGCCCACCAUGCUCCCUACGCCCCCUGCCGCUGGCCAGCAGGCGAGGAGAGGACCACAGAGCCCGCUGCAGGAGCUCGCACGGCGUGCUUCUCUGGACUCCUGUCUGCAAGCUUGUGACAAGCCUGGUGUGUAGGGCUGGAAGUGAGAUGAUCAACUGAGAAAAUGUCAGUAACCAGUCAACCAGGACAGAAGGUUAACAUCCACUAGUAAAAAGGCUGUACAAAUCAGCAAGAAAAAGGCAAACAAAUAGCAAUUUGGAAAAGGACACCAAGAGGUGACGUGCACAAGUGCCACCAGCUGUCAGACACACACGAGAGCACACAUGACCCGGGAGCAAAGAAGCAGGAAACAAAAGGACAAGAUGCCACGGGCCCACCAGGUUGGCACAGACUGAAAAGCAAACUCGGACAUCACCAGGGAUGUGGGGAGAGAGCCCUGGGGGGAAAGCAUUACGGUGCAGAGCUCUCGGUGGGCACUGGCACACCUACCAAGCUACAGGAUCCGCACGCGUGCUCCCCUUUGUCCAAGAUGCCCACUGUGAGAAGCAGCCCGGGA